AUUCCUUUUUUUAUAUGUUCCAACAAGUGUAUUGAAAAGUAUCCUCCGUUUAGCCUUUCAAAAUUUAUAUUUUUAAAUUAUUAUUUAACUAAUCGGUUGCACGUUGGUGAUGAUAAUGGUAGUAACGAAAUCAAUAAUAAGCAGUAUUGUUAUAACGAUUUACUUUUUUACCAUUUAAAAAAUAAUGAUAAUGAAAAAAACAAGGCAAAAAAAAAAAAAAAAAAAAAAAAGACAUACAACAUGUAGUACUAGUCAUACUAAUGAAAAUGAAUCGUCGAGUAUAAAUAAAAAGUUAACUAAUGCUGAUGCGAACACUGACUUUGAUAGUUUGGUUAAAUACGACACAUCUGGCACAGUUGGAAUGUCUGACUUGUGUGACAGUUCUAGUAAUGAUCACACAACUGACGAUAAAUGUAGCGACAAAUAUACAUCUAGUAGUUAUUAUACACAUAGUGAUGAACAAACGACUGAUAGUGAUUAUAUACAUAGUGAUAAUCAUACAUCUAGUAGUAAAUGUAAUGCAGAAGACAAAUCUAAGAAUAAUAAUGAGUCUAGUGAUGAUAGAAACAUGUCAACUGAUAGAGACACAUUUGAUGACGACAAUGGGUCGAUCAGCUCAAUGUUAACUCAAUUUUUGUCUAAUUCGGAAUCUCAUAGCGUAUCAAAUAAAGACUCUCUAAAAUAUACAGAUGUUUAUUUAAUGACUGAUGAUAAUUUAAAAAAAAAUAUAAAUGAAAGCAAUAAUGCCAGUAUUGACAAUGAACUAAAUGAAUAUUUAAAACAUUCCCCAAAAGAGAGCACAUCAAAAGAAAAAAAAGAAAUGAUUGAAGUUAGUAGUGAUAGUAAUGUUUUAAACUCACACAACCUCGUUAAUAGUAAUAAAAAAUAUUCAAAUACAUACGAAAGUCAAGCAAAUUCAGAUUUAAUAGAGAAAAGAAAAAAUAAAAUAAAAAUGUUAAUUAACAAAUACAUAAAUAUUAGCGGAAGUUAUGAAAACAGUUGUAGUGAUUAUUCAAUAAAAGAAUAUGAAACAGAUAGUUCAGAUAAUGGCACAAAUGCCAGUUCUAGUGAACCUAAAAUAGAGCAAGCAGUUGAGCUGACUCCUGUUGAAGAUAACGAAAAAAAGAAAAAAAAAGAAUACAUAAAAAAAAAUGUUAAACAAAAAGAAAUGGUUAAUAAAUUGGAAUAUUUACAAACUGAUGCAAAUACAAAUGAAAAAAAAAAUUUUGAUAAAUUGAAUAAACAAGUAGAAAAAGAGUUAGCAAAAAUAAAUAUAAACGUUCAAUUUUUAAAUAAAAUCACACAAACUAAUUUACCUUGUACGUACAUAAUAAAAAAAAAAAUAAAAAACUCAAUAAAAUUAAAAUAUCCUUUUAUUUUUAAUUUCAAUAUGGGAUUAACUAAAAACAAAAGUGGUAGUAAUAUAAACCAGUUGCUUUUAGAGAAUUGCGAGAUCCCUUCGUUUUGGACAUUAACCAAUUAUUUUGGUAAUGACGAAAAUAAAGUAUCAGCCAAAUUUCUUAUUCCUAUGUUUAUGCCUAUGCAUUUUGAUAAUAGAAAUGGACAUCGAAAUGUUUUUAAAUUUAAUGAAAUGGACAAGGCGGACAAGGCAGAUGAGACAGACAAGGCGGAUAAGAUAGAAAAAACGAACAAAACGGAUAAAGAAGACAAAACGGAAAAAACGGAUAAGGAAAACAAAACGGAAAAAACGGAUAAGGAAAACAAAACGGAAAAAACGGACAAAACGGACAAAACGGAAAAAACGGAAAAAACGGACAAAACGGAA
ensembl:lncRNA